AGCACAUGGUAAACCUGAGCCUGGUCUGACUUUGAAUUUGGGUUUGAAAAUUGCUAGCUAGGUGGACCUGUGAUGAAUUAGUUAAUGUCCCCAUUUUCUGUUUCUGAAAAAUGGGAAUAAAUAGUACUCCCACAUUGCGGAAUAUUGGAGAAAAGUUUAUGAUAGCUGAGCCAUAGUAAAUUCUCAGUAAAUCCCCAUUGCCUCCCUUUGAUCUCAUGGACUAUAUUCUGAAGGGAUCAUUUGUUCUCCAACUCAUUUGUUUUAUCUCUUCUCAUGUAGCUACUCCUUUAAGGAAAGUAAAGGAAGCAUUUAUUACUGGCUUGGUGAACAACAUAGGCAGCAUGCUGACCCAGUUCUACGGAUUCACCCUAUUAAGGAAGAAAUGGAGAUUCCUGAUUUGAGAGAUUGCUUGGUCAAAAUUCGGCAAGACUACAAUUUGCAUAUGGGAUUAAGAUGGUGGAGUAGAAGGACUGGAGCUCACCUUCUCUCAUAAAAGCAACAGAAUUACAACCAACUGCUGAACAACCUUCAACAAAAUAGACUGCAAACUAUCAAAAGAGAUAUCCUACUCCAGAAGUCAACUAGGAGGCCACAUCAAGACAGUAGGAGGGAUGCUGCUAAGCCCUUCGGCAUUGUGUUCUUUUCACUGACAGAAUGUGUUCCACAAGAAGUAUCUGCCUGUGGCCAGCAUGGUGAGUUGAUGGCUUGGCCACCACCACCUCGAGAGAAAACUGGUGCAGCCAGAGGUGAUGUGCUCCAAAUGAUAACUGCCAUCCCCUGUCUAUGUGGGUUCUCACAGUCAUAAUAUAGUUUAUAUCACAUCAGAAAAAUUAAUGUGCCUACUUCUCAAAUGUAAAGAUACUUACCAGACAUUGUAAAAGCAUAUUCAUGUAAGUGAAUUUGUUCAGGUAAAACUAUUACCUGUUGAGCUCUAGAGAUGUGAGCUACAGUGAGAGCUGUUUUCUUUUUGUAUAUAACUUUCUCACCAUGAUUUCUGUAUCAUGACACUGCCAUUAUUCUGUGUCAAGUCCCCCAUGUACCCCCAGGUCACAUUGUCUUGAGGUGGGGUAUCCUUUGAGUCCCAGAAUAACCACAGGUCUAGACAGAAUCCUAUGUGAACCAGCAGAAACCUCCAUGAAAAGGAGCGAUGUUUUCCUUGCUUCUUCCCCCUGCCCUCAAAAGUGCUCCCAUAAGAUUUCUGAACUAGGAGAGUAGAAAGAGAAGUACUUUAAAAUCUGCAUUUUUAAUUACAUUUUUAGCAUUCUCCUGCGCAGUUCUGUAACAUCUGUAGUGCUAAGCACUGGGGAGAAGAAAGUGCCAUUUUGGAGAUGAAAAAAUAGGUUGAUUCUGUGUUGGCUUCUUCCUUGCUACUCUUUGAAGACUGUUUUUGCAGCAACAGAAGCUUUUGUUGUCAUCAGUGAUGUUGAGAGAUUUAUACAUGUUUAUGUUCGGCUCAAGAAAAGCUGCUUUAUCUUCUGUCUACUAGGUCUUUUUCUUUGCAGUUGAUAAAGAAGUUGGGGUUCGUUUCUUCCAUGCCUUGAAAGAUGUGGGUUUGUGGUUAUUAUUUAAUCAUUUAUUUUGUUAGGUUUCCACACCUAAAUAAAGAAUGAGUCAAAAUCUGGGAGUUGGACAUGCCUUUUUAUCAGGUCCUACUGGAACUGUGUGGCCAUAAUGUAGGCUGCCGAGAGUUGGCCCCAGCCAUCUGAGUGCAUCGCCAUUGUGGCCAGCCAGCCAGCUCCUUGGACCCUGUUUCCAUCAGCUCCGCUGGCAACAAUUCUGGAAUUCUGGGUUUGGCUUUUUAAAAAUGUUGUCAAAUGUGGUUUUCUUCUCAAUAGGCAUUGAAUGAAACACUGCGAAUGUUGCCACUGACUCAGCGAUGUCUGGGAAUAACAGGAGCAGGCUGACGUCACGCAGUUUUAUGUUGACUUAUCACACGCUGUGUCCUGAUGACCAGCAGUGUCUGGCCCUGGCAGGCAGGCACUCACUGUCGGUUGAUUGAAUGAACGUUAGCUUUUCCAUCACGAAAGACUCACUUUUACUGGGUUUUACAACUUUAAUCAAGCAUUCUGGAACCCUCUUAAAGAACGGAAGAUCGUUUCAACAGUGUGAAGGAGUGGGGGUAGGUUGUGCUCACGGGGAGGAAAUAAGUGACAAGAGAAUCUGAGACAGAUGCUUGGGAGAAAGGGGCCUGUCCAAUGCCAGAGGAUGAGCAUAAGGAUGUUUCCUGCAGCCUCUCUAAAGCCUUCUUCACUCACAUUGAAUAUGGAGAGCAGAGAACAGAGGGGGAGAGCUCAAAUCCAUGCCUGUGUAUUGUAGUGACUGGCUUCAUCCUCUUGGGAUAAAUGGCUGUGCUAUAACCAGUGAAAAACAUGUGCUUGUCCCCCCUUCUUUUUGUCCCAUACAAGGGAAUAAAUACAGGUUUCAGAGUCUAUCUUUUUGGGGAGAAGGCGGGAUGCUAAGAACUACCAAGCGCAGACUGACCACUGAACUUGGCUCAGUCAGUCCCAUGAGGAGGAUCUCACUUCAUUCUCAAGAGACCCCCAGGAAGAAGACAUUAUAUCUCCCUCCCCAAGGGUUUUCUGAUGAAGAAAUCAAAAUGUGGAGAGGUUUUCGCAGUCUCCGAGGUGACUGCCUCACUUCAGAGCAGGUCUGUGCUUUAAAAAAUCAUAUGGCUAAGUUCAGAGAAAAUGCACAGUACAUUUUUCAUGCUGGAGUUAAAGAGUAUUUGGUAGCAGACAGCAGACUUUUUCUAUUGGUCUUAAAUAUUUAGAAUGGGAAAGUCUUUGUUGUUACUGAAUACAAUCCCUAGCCCUCUCAUUAUUUCCGUAUUCUAAGACUAGGGAUCUUUCUGCUACACUGCUAGUUUUUAGUUUUUGUUUUAACCAGGGAAACCCUUCCUAUACAAAAAACCUUAGAGGUGAGCCCAAUUUGAAACAUAGCUAAAAAGCAAAGCUACUCUACCUGUAUUGGAGAAGAGGAACGUAGUUGCAGAGUUCUUAUUUCCUGUCCUUUCCUGAAAAAAAAAAAAAAAAAAA
rnacentral:lncRNA from 1 species